AGGCAGCCAUUGACGAGCAACUAC
rnacentral:siRNA from 1 species